rnacentral:rRNA from 1 species
GAUGAACGCUGGCGGCGUGCCUAAUACAUGCAAGUCGAGCGAACGGACGAGAAGCUUGCUUCUCUGAUGUUAGCGGCGGACGGGUGAGUAACACGUGGAUAACCUACCUAUAAGACUGGGAUAACUUCGGGAAACCGGAGCUAAUACCGGAUGAUAUUUUGAACCGCAUGGUUCAAAAGUGAAAGACGGUCUUGCUGUCACUUAUAGAUGGAUCCGCGCUGCAUUAGCUAGUUUGUAAGGUAACGGCUUACCAAGGCAACGAUGCAUAGCCGACCUGAGAGGGUGAUCGGCCACACUGGAACUGAGACACGGUCCAGACUCCUACGGGAGGCAGCAGUAGGGAAUCUUCCGCAAUGGGCGAAAGCCUGACGGAGCAACGCCGCGUGAGUGAUGAAGGUCUUCGGAUCGUAAAACUCUGUUAUUAGGGAAGAACAUAUGUGUAAGUAACUGUGCACAUCUUGACGGUACCUAAUCAGAAAGCCACGGCUAACUACGUG